CCCAGAAUGGUGUAAUGGUUUGAGCGUUGGACUAUGAUUCCAGAGAUCAGGGCUUGAUUCCCCGUUCGAGCA